GGUCUCUCUUUCAGUGGAUUGUGUGUGUGUGUGUGUGUGCAUACACACAUACUCAUAUAAACAUAUACCCACGCUAUCGAGCAUUGGGCAAGAAUAACUACUAAUACUUUUUCCCAUUUCUUCUAGUCAUCACCUCAAUGGCCCCUAGUAUUUCUUCUGCAAAGCCUUAUCUGAAAGAUAAAAGCAAGGUCACUGCUGUUGGUUCUACAAGAGCUUCCCCAAGAAAGCAAAGAGUUGUCACCUCAAUGGCCACUACUGUUGGUUCUACAAAGGCUUAUAUGACAGAGCAAAGCACUGUCACUACUAUUGCACCUACAACAGCUUCCCCAACUGAGCAAACUGUUGUCACCUCAAGGGCCACCACUAUUGGUUCCACAAAGGCUUACACGACAGAGGAAAGCAAGGUCACUGCUGUUUUUUCUGCAAAAGAUUUCUCAAAAGAGGAAAGUGAGGUCCCUGCUAUCAACUCCACAAAAGCUUGUUGGAAUGGUGAAAGCAACGCCCUGCAGCUGCAGCUCAGCAACACUUUGGCCUGUUACGCCUACCUCCUCCUCCUCAUCAUGAGCGUGGUCUACUCUGCCAUCAUGGCCUUCUGUCUGUUGAGGAGAGCAGCAGUCUGUGGCAACGGAAAGAGUUUGUAACAGCUGGUGGCACAAAGAAGGCAACUUUCCUCCAUUGUUUAUUUUCCCUAAAACUGUCUGCCAAGGAUCUAUUUGGGGUUUCUCUCUUUGUAUGGGUUAUUUCAGUUCAUGGGGUAUUUUUCUGUUAUAUCAACGUUAGAAAAUAGUUUUCUAAACCACUGGGCAACCAGAAAAUCUUAUUCUGUAACAACGAGUUCUGCCAUUUCUCAGGGGCAGGGCCACAGGGUCGUCUUUCAGCAUCACACUCUCCAGCAUCUCCAUCAGCUCCUCCAGGACUCGAAUAAUCAUGCCUUCUGAGCACAGACAACAUGCAGCUCUAGUUAUGUCCCUUAGGGCCAUUAAACCAGAUGACCUCCUUGAAGCCUUCCAUUUUACACAUCCUUAAGCUACCAUUGUUGUUUCUUGAAAAGUCUGUACACUGUUU
rnacentral:lncRNA from 1 species